rnacentral:rRNA from 1 species
GAUGAACGCUGGCGGCGUGCCUAAUACAUGCAAGUCGAGCGGACAGACGAUGCGCUUGCUCCUCUGACGUUAGCGGCGCACGUGUGAAUAACACGAGUAUAACCUACCUAUAAUUCUGGUAUAACUUCGGGACACCGGAGCUUAUACCGUAGAAUAUCUUGAACCGCAUGGUUCGAUAGUAAGAUUCGGUGUUUCUGUCACGUCUAGCGGGAUCCGCGCCGCAUUAGCUAGUUGUGAAGGUACCAGGUUACCAAGGCAACGAUGCGUAGGCGAACUGAGAGGCUGAUCGGCCACACUGGAACGUGGACACGGUCCAGACUCCUACGGGAGGCAGCAGUAGGGAAUCUGACGCAGUGGGCGAAAGCAUGACGGAGCAACGCCGCGCGAGUGAUGAAGGUGCUCGGAUCGUAAAACUCUGUUAUUAGGGAAGAACAACUGUGUACGUAAAUAUGCACGUCUUGACGGUACCUAAUCAGAAAGCAACGGCUAACUACGUG